UUCUUUUAGCCCGGCACCUGCAGCGUGCCAACUGUAUGGCAGCACCACAGCUGAACCAGGCGAUGAACGUUCAUCUCAUGAAUGAUCGUGCUCCUCGCUGGAGACAGAGAGCAGUUGCCAGAAAUUCUCUCUCAGCCCAGCACGGCAAGACCCUUCCUAGAGGUCAGAGGCAGCUGGCUGUAGAGAGAGCCAAGCCUUACCAUCUGCCUUCGUCCGGACCAAGAGAAGCUGCAAGACCAAAGCCAUUCUCAACAGUAACAAAACCAGCUAAUGCAGGAAAUGUGGAUCCAAGGGCACCUUUCAGCAGUCGUGUGUUGGCCAAAGUUA